UACGAACUGUGCGAACGUUAUUCGGAAUCACUGGGCUUAAAGGGUGCGUAGGCGGCUGCCUAAGUCAGGUGUGAAAUCUCCCGGCUCAACCGGGAAACUGCGCUUGAUACUGGGCGGCUCGAGUGAGGUAGGGGCGUGUGGAACUUCCGGUGGAGCGGUGAAAUGUGUGAGAUAUCGGAAGGAACGCCAGCAGCGAAAGCGGCACACUGGGCCUUUUCUGACGCUGAGGCACGAAAGCCUGGGGAGCGAACGGG
rnacentral:rRNA from 1 species